rnacentral:tRNA from 1 species
GCCCUAGUAGCUCAGUGUAAGAGCGCCGGUCUUGUAAUCCGGAGGCCGGAGGUUAAAACCCUCCCUAGUGCUC